AGAACGAACGCUGGCGGCAUGCCUAAUACAUGCAAGUCGAACGAACUCUUCGGAGUUAGUGGCGCACGGGUGCGUAACGCGUGGGAAUCUGCCCCUUGGUUCGGAAUAACAGUUGGAAACGACUGCUAAUACCGGAUGAUGACGAAAGUCCAAAGAUUUAUCGCCAAGGGAUGAGCCCGCGUAGGAUUAGCUAGUUGGUGAGGUAAAGGCUCACCAAGGCAACGAUCCUUAGCUGGUCUGAGAGGAUGAUCAGCCACACUGGGACUGAGACACGGCCCAGACUCCUACGGGAGCAGCAGUAGGGAAUAUUGGACAAUGGG
rnacentral:rRNA from 1 species